CGCUGGCGGCGUGCUUAACACAUGCAAGUCGAACGGAAAGGCCCUGCUUUUGUGGGGUGCUCGAGUGGCGAACGGGUGAGUAACACGUGAGUAACCUGCCCUUGACUUUGGGAUAACUUCAGGAAACUGGGGCUAAUACCGGAUAGGAGCUCCUGCUGCAUGGUGGGGGUUGGAAAGUUUCGGCGGUUGGGGAUGGACUCGCGGCUUAUCAGCUUGUUGGUGGGGUAGUGGCUUACCAAGGCUUUGACGGGUAGCCGGCCUGAGAGGGUGACCGGCCACAUUGGGACUGAGAUACGGCCCAGACUCCUACGGGAGGCAGCAGUGGGGAAUAUUGCACAAUGGGCGGAAGCCUGAUGCAGCAACGCCGCGUGCGGGAUGACGGCCUUCGGGUUGUAAACCGCUUUCGCCUGUGACGAAGCGUGAGUGACGGUAAUGGGUAAAGAAGCACCGGCUAACUACGUGCCAGCAGCCGCGGUGAUACGUAGGGUGCGAGCGUUGUCCGGAUUUAUUGGGCGUAAAGGGCUCGUAGGUGGUUGAUCGCGUCGGAAGUGUAAUCUUGGGGCUUAACCCUGAGCGUGCUUUCGAUACGGGUUGACUUGAGGAAGGUAGGGGAGAAUGGAAUUCCUGGUGGAGCGGUGGAAUGCGCAGAUAUCAGGAGGAACACCAGUGGCGAAGGCCGUUCUCUGGGCCUUUCCUGACGCUGAGGAGCGAAAGCGUGGGGAGCGAACAGGCUUAGAUACCCUGGUAGUCCACGCUGUAAACGGUGGGUACUAGGUGUGGGGUCCAUUCCACGGGUUCCGUGCCGUAGCUAACGCUUUAAGUACCCCGCCUGGGGAGUACGGCCGCAAGGGCUAAAACUCAAAGGAAUUGACGGGGCCCCGCACAAGCGGCGGAGCAUGCGGAUUAAUUCGAUGCAACGCGUAGAACCUUACCUGGGUUUGACAUGGAUCGGGAGCGCUCAGAGAUGGGUGUGCCUCUUUUGGGGUCGGUUCACAGGUGGUGCAUGGCUGUCGUCAGCUCGUGUCGUGAGAUGUUGGGUUAAGUCCCGCAACGAGCGCAACCCUUGUUCACUGUUGCCAGCACGUUAUGGUGGGGACUCAGUGGAGACCGCCGGGGUCAACUCGGAGGAAGGUGGGGAUGACGUCAAGUCAUCAUGCCCCUUAUGUCCAGGGCUUCACGCAUGCUACAAUGGCUGGUACAGAGAGUGGCGAGCCUGUGAGGGUGAGCGAAUCUCGGAAAGCCGGUCUCAGUUCGGAUUGGGGUCUGCAACUCGACCUCAUGAAGUCGGAGUCGCUAGUAAUCGCAGAUCAGCAACGCUGCGGUGAAUACGUUCCCGGGGCUUGUACACACCGCCCGUCAAGUCAUGAAAGUUGGUAACACCCGAAGCCGGUGGCCUAACCGUUGUGGGGGAGCCGUCGAAGGUGGGACUGGUGAUUAGGA
rnacentral:rRNA from 1 species